UCUCUCUCUCAAAAGUAAAUAAACAUACAAUGAAUUUGAAGCUACUGUAUGUCAGCUUCAAACACUGAUUUCCUGAGUACCUACAAACCAGCUCUCUCCCAUUUGAGUCUGCUAAUGGGAGCACUAGAAGGCAGGAAAAUGAGAAGGAUUUGCUUCUUUCUGUUUGCUCACUGUUCCUUUUCUACAUCACUUCAGCAAUAGUGCUUCAUCUUGGCAGUUGUUUCCAGUAGUUACAGUUGGCCCCAGAUUCUAGUGUUUUCCUCCUAUUCCCAGAAGGAUUUUCAGUGUGCCCCUUCAGAGAUAUCCGCGUCAGCAGCCCUGUGCCUCCUGUUCUGAGUCCUGGCGGCAAACGGGUGCCUCUUCAGAGCUCUUGCAGCAGUGUGGUGAUGUACCCUCUGGAUCUCAGCGCUGCAAGGGUUUUGUUUAGACUCUGGAGGUUCUACCAAAGGUGGACUUCCCCUUCUCCUCAGCUGCGAGCUUUGCAGGGUCCCUCCUUCGAAUUCCUGAGGAGCCAGCCUCAGCCAGAGAGCUGCUCAUCUCAGUAGUCAAUGCCUGGGCCAAAGCUGUGCGACUCGAAGAAUGAUCACCUGAGCUCCUCCCAUCGGAUCGUUUAGCUAUCUCCUACUUUCUUACGUAGGAAAAGGAGCAUCCUCAGGAAACCUCAUCCACCACAUGGUUUUCCAAGAUAGCUAUCACUGGGGGAGAACAAAACCACGCUAUUUCUGCAGGAGAACAGACAAUGACAAUCCACGUUCUAUUUUUGACAGUCCAGAGUGCUACAUGUGUGGUCAGUCUCGAAGUGACUAUUAUACAGCACUGGGCGAGUGGGGAUGCCUGUGUGCCCUCUCUGGGUCUGGGUACUUCUAUGAGUGCUCCAGGAUCACUGUCCUUGACUUGAGCUCUCAGGGCUGGGGCAUUGACCCUAAGCUGGAAAGGUAAGCCAGCAGGCCCUCUUUGGUGAUGGGUGAGAGCGUGUCCAUCUAGGCUGCCAAAUUCUGAGAUUCAACAAGGGCUUGGUCUUAAUGUUACAUCUGCUGGCCCAUAAAUGCUCACGCCCCAGCUUUGGGGCAGUGGUUGGUCAGACUCCCACUCCCUCCCAGCCCCCAUCCUUUAACAUAGGAACUUCUGCAGAGAAAUAGCUCUCUUGUGAUGGCACUCAGGUCCCCUUGGAGUUCCACUUCCCGACCAACCCAUCAAGGAUUCUGAGGAUCCCAUCUUUCUUUUGGCAUUUCAUUGAAGAGACAAGGAGAAAAAAAGAAAAAAAAAGGGAGAGAGAGAGAGACAAGGAGAACUAGCCACUUUCAUGUCCAGUGUGCAAAUGCUCCUAAAACUGUAGCUGCAAAGGGUAAAAAGGGAAAAGGUGGGCAGAAGAGAGCAAAGAACAGGAGUGUGAGAGAAGAUGAGUUAGAGAAAGAAACAGAGGAAAGGAGUUGGAGCAGGGGUUGGGAUGCUUUUAAAUACAGUGUCGCCUCUUUUCAGAUCCAAAUGGCAUUUUCUGCUGUCAAGGUCCACAUGAGACCAUCAGAAGAGCGGUAUGGCUCCCCCAUCCGGGAGGCCCAGGACCUGGGUCUGGCGCUUUCUUGCUUGUGUCUGUUGUGUGCAGCCUCCUGCGAACUACUGUGGUUUGGCUCUGUUCUGCCAUCCUCUGUCUUUGCCUGCGGCUGCGUCUAGAAGCUAAGUGCAGAGGAGCAAAGUGACUCCCUUCAGGAUGGUUUCCAGGCAGCUUCUAAACAUACAUCUCUUUUGCUGUCCAACUCUACUUUCUUCCUUUCCCCACUCGUGCUCCCCCAGGCUACAGGGACAACAGGGAAGACAGAGCUUCCCUGGUUUGCCUACACGUUCUCACUGUCCUGCAGCCUGAUUCCAGGACUGGCCUUCUCGCUGUACCCAUGGAGCUGCCUGUUGGGGACUGUGAGCUGUCACCCCUCUCAGCUGGGUUCAGAAGGCCUCAAUUUAUUCUCAGCCCUGCCACCAUUUUCUUUGUAGUCUCAACUUCCUCUGCUGUUAAGUGGGUCCAUACGUGACUCCUUUAUUUCCUACCACCAAGUGCUCAAAGUGUCCCUGACUUCAUCUUGGAUUUCCAAGGACAAACUAAAGGAACUAUUUUAUGACCAGCCCUGUCCCCUUUACCACGUCCACUGUUGGGACCCAGGCCUGCCAUGGACCAAUGUUCUCUCUCUAGCACUCCUCCUCUGGGAAGUCCCUGUGCUCCAGGUGUCGUCAGGACUCAGGCUCUCUCACCAUCACCCCUGAGAGGCGAAUGCAAACUGCUUAAAGGGCCUGAUUUUCAGUCUCUGCUGUGAAUGAGAUGCACACUGCGGGGCGGUUUGUAGCUGGCUUAUCUGCAAUGCUAAGCAAGUCUUAUUCCUGGCUGUUUGUUAAAAGCAUCGUGGAGAAUUUAGAACUCUAUGCCAAGCCCCAUCCCAGAUCAAAUAAAUCUGAAUUUCUAAU